GACGAACGCUGGCGGCGCGCUUAACACAUGCAAGUCGAGCGAGAACCAGGGCUUCGGCCCUGGGGACAGCGGCGAACGGGUGAGUAACACGUGGGUAAUCUGCCCUCGGCAUCGGGAUAGCCCGGGGAAACCCGGAUUAAUACCGAAUAGCCUCCGGAGCUCUCGGGCGCCGGAGAAAAGGUAGCUUCGGCCUCUGGCCGAGGAUGAGCCCGCGGCGGAUUAGCUUGUUGGCGGGGGAACGGCCCACCAAGGCGACGAUCCGUAGCUGGUCUGAGAGGACGAUCAGCCACACUGGGACUGAGACCCGGCCCAGACUCCUACGGGAGGCAGCAGUGGGGAAUCUUGCGCUAAUGCGGGAAACCGUGACGCAGCGACGCCGCGUGGGGGAAGAAGGCCUUCGGGUUGUAAACCUCUUUCAGGAGGGACGAAGCUACUCGGGUGAAUAGCCCAGAGGGUGACGGUACCUCCAGAAGAAGCCCCGGCUAACUACGUGCCAGCAGCCGCCGUAACAC
rnacentral:rRNA from 1 species